UAAUGUUUGAUGUUCUAACGUGGACCCGUGAUCCGGGUUGCGGACAGUGUCUGGUGGGUAGUUUGACUGGGGCGGUCUCCUCCUAAAGAGUAACGGAGGAGCACGAAGGUUGGCUAAUCCUGGUCGGACAUCAGGAGGUUAGUGCAAUGGCAUAAGCCAGCUUGACUGCGAGCGUGACGGCGCGAGCAGGUGCGAAAGCAGGUCAUAGUGAUCCGGUGGUUCUGAAUGGAAGGGCCAUCGCUCAACGGAUAAAAGGUACUCCGGGGAUAACAGGCUGAUACCGCCCAAGAGUUCAUAUCGACGGCGGUGUUUGGCACCUCGAUGUCGGCUCAUCACAUCCUGGGGCUGAAGUAGGUCCCAAGGGUAUGGCUGUUCGCCAUUUAAAGUGGUACGCGAGCUGGGUUUAGAACGUCGUGAGACAGUUCGGUCCCUAUCUGCCGUGGGCGCUGGAGAACUGAGGGGGGCUGCUCCUAGUACGAGAGGACCGGAGUGGACGCAUCACUGGUGUUCGGGUUGUCAUGCCAAUGGCACUGCCCGGUAGCUAAAUGCGGAAGAGAUAAGUGCUGAAAGCAUCUAAGCACGAAACUUGCCCCGAGAUGAGUUCUCCCUGAGACUUUAGGUCUCCUGAAGGAACGUUGAAGACGACGACGUUGAUAGGCCGGGUGUGUAAGCGCAGCGAUGCGUUGAGCUAACCGGUACUAAUGAACCGUGAGGCUUAACCUUACAAC
rnacentral:rRNA from 2 species